rnacentral:rRNA from 1 species
AGCGAACGUUUGCGGCGAGCCUAACACAUGCAAGUCGAACGGACCUUUCGGGGUUAGUGGCGGACGGGUGAGUAACACGUGGGAACGUGCCUUUAGGUUCGGAAUAGCUCCUGGAAACGGGUGGUAAUGCCGAAUGUGCCCUUCGGGGGAAAGAUUUAUCGCCUUUAGAGCGGCCCGCGUCUGAUUAGCUAGUUGGUGAGGUAAAGGCUCACCAAGGCGACGAUCAGUAGCUGGUCUGAGAGGAUGACCAGCCACAUUGGGACUGAGACACGGCCCAAACUCCUACGGGAGGCAGCAGUGGGGAAUCUUGCGCAAUGGGCGAAAGCCUGACGCAGCCAUGCCGCGUGGAUGAUGAAGGUCUUAGGAUUGUAAAAUCCUUUCACCGGUGAAGAUAAUGACUGUAGCCGGAGAAGGAGCCCCGGCUAACUUCGUGCCAGCCGCCGCAGUAACAC